GGGAAAAUGUUUUCUUUCUGAUGUCACAUCAAAGCCCAAACAGGCUUUAAUAACUGGGAUCUCAAAAGACUAGCCAUGGGGAAGAAAAUGGUUCAGGAUUAUUUCUUCUGUAUUUUUUUUUUUUAGGGCCACACCCAUGGCAUAUGGAGGUUCCCAGGCUAGGGGUCAAAGUGGAGCUGUAGCCACUGGCCAAUAUCACAGCCACAGCACAGUAUAUGAGCUGAGUCUGUGACGUACACCACAACUCAUGGCAGUGCAGGAUCCUUAAACCACUGAGCGAGGCCAGGGAUUGAACUUGCAUUCCUAAAGAUGCUAAUCAGAUUUCAUUUCCGCCUAACCAUGACAGGAACUUGUGCUUCUUUAUGGUUUCUUAUAUAAAAUAUGGAAUAUUUAAAAAGCUUUCUUGUACUUUAUUUUACCUAGCACUGUCUUUCUGUUCUGGGUGGUUUUUUUUGUGUGUGUGUGUUUUUUUUUUGGUCUGCAUCCAUGGCAUGUGGAAGUUCCCAGACCAGGGAUCAAAACCUAUACCACAGCAGAGACAGCGCCAGAUCGUUAACCUACUGUGCCGCAAGAGGACUCCCUGUUCUGGCUUUUAUUAAAACUGUAUUUAUGACUAGAUUUUCAGCCUGUGAUGUUUGAGACUAGAGUUAAAUCUGUAGUGAUGCUCACAUUCAGCUGUUUCAAACGUCUCCCUUUGGUUUUCCCUGUGCAGAAUUCUAGUAAGUCCCUGGAACUAUACAUAAAUUAAAAAACAGUUUAGAGCUGGUUUUUAGACUCAGAAAUUAAGACAAUUACAUUGUAGAUGAAAAGAAGGCUUGAGAAGUUACUUAAAUUUUAUGUGUGUGUGUGUAUGCACAUGCACAGUAUAUACCCAGAAAGAGAUGGAACGCCCCCCCACCUUCCAGGGUUAAUAAACAAUGGGUUUUCAGACGUAAACCAAAAAAAGAGAUCUUCAUUAACAUAGGCAUUGUGAAAUGGUGACUUAGGUUUUAUGCAUCUUUUGUAGUAGUGGUUUGCAAGUAUUGCUCAGUUCCUUAUGAUUUGGUAUUUCUCUAACUGCUUGAUUCAGCCUUACUUAUGUCUUAGUAUUCUGGUACAUUUAAAAACAACAACAAAAAGAACAAUUAUCCUCCGGUUGUUAUGGGCAAGAGAGAGGCGUCUUGAGACACCCAAGAAACUCCUGUCUGUUUGGGGGAGUCUGACAGACAAAGCUGAAUUGUCAUCUACUGCUGUUACUGAUAGUCAUGCUCCACUUACUGAGCAACCCCUGUGUGCCAGGCAUGGUACCCCUUACGUGAGCCUCAGAACUGGGCGUUUUAUCUCUUUUGUGGAUGAGGAAACAUUUCUGCAAGGUUACUUUCCCAAAGCCCAACAGCUCCAGUGGGGCAGGGUUGCAGUUUGAACUUGUUUGUUUCUACCUGUCAAGGUCAGGCCUUCUGCUGUGGUGGUACUAGAUCUGCACGUGGGCCGUCCCAGGUACUCAUCAAGUCACUGACCCCUCUCCCACUUCACUACCCAGAAAAACAGCUCUGAAAGGUUGUUUACUGGAGUUCCUGUUGUGACAGCGGGUUAAGAAUCUGACUGUAGCGGCUAAGGUCAUUGUGGAGGUGGCGUGGGUUCCAUCCUUGGCCCUGGGCAGUGAGUUAAAGGAUCCAGCAAUAUGUCAGAAGCUGUGGCUUGGAUUCAGUCCCUGGCCUGAGAACUUUCAUAGGUCAUGGGUGCGGCCAUAAAAUAAAAAGCAAAUGAAUAAAGUGUACAGAUGAAUGGUUAGAAAAUAUAAGGUGGUUACUCUAUUUCUGGAAUUGGUGAAAGUUACAACUUGGUCGUAACAGGCACACUUGCUCAGGCGAGGGUGUUCAUCUGUGUUUGCUCAUUGUCCUGAGCAGGAGCCUCAAAUCUGAGGAGCAGGGAUGAUGGGAGUCGGCCUGACAUCUGAACAGUUGAAACAGCUGCAGCAAUUCGAUCCGUUGGUGGUGCCAUCACGGGACACCAACUUUGUCUCAGAGACAGCAGAACAGAAGACAUGAUCCGGCUGGCCAAAGAGGACUGUGUAGGUUUCUUCACUGCAAGAUUUGUGAAAUGCAAAAGCAAUAGUGAAGGAGCCAUAGAAGUGAAGAUUCCAAACAUUUGCUGUGCAGUUUUGUUUUCUGUUUUUUUAAAUUUAACUUGAAUCAAUCGUCAGGCCACAGAUUGAUUCUGUGGUUGCUGAGGAAACUGAAGACUGCCAGCUGUUCCGCCGGGAACCCAGAGAUUUGAUCAAGAGAUUCUGCUUCAUAGAGGAAUUAGUCAGGGGGCAGAUGGAGAUUAUACUUUGUGUUUUUAAAAUAAUUUUUUUCUUCAUGGAUUUAGCAGAGUAUAAAGAAGGCAGUAUGAAGAAAAGGGGAUGCCUAUAGAUGUCUGGAACAUACUUUUACUUGGGGUCUUUGUUUUAAUUUGUAAAGAGUGCAAAUCAUUUUUAAUGUUAAAAUCAGGGGAUUUAACAAAAGAAAAUCCACAAUAUUUAAUUUGGUUAUAAAGCAUGUUUUCUGUUCCUCAGUUCAUGUGUACAAGUUGCUUACGAAUUCAGGUUAUGGGAACUAUAACUUAUGUAUCAUGUGCCGGGAACUGAGCUGGGGAUUUUACCUGACUUUUUCUGUUGACUAUUUCGUUAAUCAACUUCCUUUCACCUGAAUUCUGGGCCUCUCCUAAAUGACAGUCUCCCUUCACUGUGUUUAAUUUUUUCCCCUUCAUAUUUAAAAAAACAUUUUUUUUUCUUUUUACAGCCUCACCUGUGGAAUAUGGAAGUUCUUUGGCUAGGGGUUGAAUCGGAGCUGCAGCUGCAGGUCUACACCACAGCCACGCCAAAUCCGAGCUGAAUCUGCAGCCUAUACUUCAGCUUGUGACAAUGCCAGAUCCUUAACCUGCUGAGCGAGGCCAGGGAUUGAACCUACAUCCUCAUGGACACUAUGUCAGGUUCUUAACCCUCUGAGCCACACCAGGAAGUCCCCCCUUCAUAUUUUAAACUGAAAACGAAAAUGAAACUUUUUUUUUUUACUCUAUAGAUUAAAAGUGAGAAUACUGCACAAUUUGGGUACCUUAUCACCUGAUGGAUCACAUACAGGUUAUUAAGAGAUGUGAGUGGUGAGAAAGAGAAAAAAGCAUCCUCUGAGAGCUGGAAGGUGGCCGGGCACUUAGAGCUAAGCCUUGGCAUCAUAUCACCGAACAGAAGCAGGUCCACAGUACACCGACCUCAGACCAUGCAGCUGUGACUGGGCCAGAUCAAGACAAAAAAGACCUCUUCACAGUUUAAAAUCUGAAAUCAUCCAAACUGCAAAUGUGACCAAACACAUCUCUCCCCGUAGUGGCCAGUUUAAGAGGACUGCCUUUUUAAAAUUAAUUGUAACGGUGGGCUUGCUUCAUCCUACCUGCUUUUUUAGGUUUCCAUUAGGAAUUUCUCGAAUCUGUUGUAUCCAUCAGGAAUGCCAGGUCUCGUGGAUCAGCAUAGGGAUCAAAUCAAAGCUGCCAGCAUAGCAUCACAGCCAUGGCAACACUGGAUCUGAGCUGCAUCUGUGACCUACACCAGAGUUUGUAGCAAUGAUGGAUCCUUUACCUACCGAGGGAAGCCAGGGAUCAAACCUGCAUCUUCACAGACAUGUGACACUUGACGUAUGAAUAAGAUGAGAAUAUCCUGCACUGCAUCACUUCGCAAAGGGUGAGGAAUUAAAUUCAUCAUCAAGAGGGAUCUCCAUUUUAAGAAUGAACAAUAAAAUUUAAAAUCCGAGUCAAGAAUUGCUGAAUACGUAGAAUGAAGGUGGGGAGAAGUUGACUCGGCUGUGCUCAGGCCUCAGGAACCUUUUACCUGCCGGAAGCUGUCAUUUUAUCAGACGUGAUGGGAAGACCACACUGCAGGCCCUCAGUGACUGGCAAGGCCCCACAGGAAGAUGGGCCAUGAGUGGGAGGUGCUGGAGCAAGAACAAGGAGCCAGCAGAUGCGCGCCCCCUCUGGCUGUGAGCCUCCUCCCGUCCCUGCCCGCCCCCCGGACCCCGCAGCAUCCCGCGGCUUGUGACCUGCAAGGCAGGUACUCAGUUGACACUGGAGAUACUUGAGGACUCAGCGUUUGUCACAUUCUGGAUAGAGCUGCCCAGUUGGAACAAGCACAGCACCCGGGUUCGGGGCACAGAUCCUAGCCAGGCGGCCGCAGGGAAGAGCUGCUUGCUUACCUCAGGGAGAACUCAAGGAGGAAGAAGACAACAUCGGCUGGUGAUUCCUGCCCACCACUGCUUUUUCAUCAUCAGCGCAAAUGUCAGAACAGCGAAAAAGGGGGCAAAUGUCUCAGUGUUACUUACCAUGGAGAUGCUCUUUGCCUAAUGGACCCUCUGACAGCACCGCAGAAGCUCCUCCACCACGAAUCCAUGGGCUGCUCUUUGGGAAUCACUGUUCUACACCAUGAAAUUAAUCAUCCUCCUCUGCUUCUAUGAAUCUUAACAAUUCUUGAUCACCAUCUCUCUCUCAAACCCUCUGUGGAAGGUAAAAGCCUGUUUAUAAUUGGAAAGCAGGAUAUAAACACACAUUAGUAAAGUUUCAUUACACAACAAACAGUAACAACCUGGCUUACCUUAGGAGAAGACAUCUUGUAAUAGGGGCCAGAGAGGUUUUACUGAGUUGAGCUGGAUGAUUAAUAGUAUCUGCAUCAAGGUCCACCAGUUGCAGUGUUCUUGCAAGUUCAAAAAUCCUCUCGAUUUCACUCUGAACUUCCGCUGUAAAAGAUUAUUCAGACCAGAUUGAGAUAAAAGUAAAAUGCUACUCCUGGAGGUGAGCCAUUAGGUUGAUGUCCACAGGUAAGAGAGCUGAGAACAGGCAUCAAGGGAAAAAGCCAUUUCUUCACAACACCUCUAGAAUUUAGAGAAUUCCUAUCAGCUAUAAGAUUUAGUUCUAAUAUAACAUACAAUCUGAGAGUCAACUUUUUUGGCUCUCUCUCUGCUGACUUGUGUUUGGUGCUAUAAAACUUCAGUCUAUAAAGUCAUUCCAUGAAAAUGUUGUAAAAUAGAAACUUGAAGAGCUGUCUGUCUGUCGUGUUGGUUUCUGACCACUCCAGCCCAGCAACCAUCACCAGCUUUCCUGUCAGUGCCUGGGCUUAUGUGUUUGCAUGUCACCUCUUGGUCUGCUCUCUGGAUAUGACGGUGUCCAGAGAUGGAUAUUAGCAAGCUGAACUUCAGCACACAACAGGACAGGCUUAAGAGUGUUUACAACAAACUGGUCCAGAAACCCACUUCUCCUGUCUUCCACAAACAAAAGAAUAAUCCUGUAACAUUCAGGCUUUAAAAGGGCAAUUAUAGGAGUUCCUGUUGUGGCUCAGCGGAAAUGAACCUAAGUACCAUGAGGACGAGGGUUUGCUCCCUGGCCUCGCUCAGUGGGUUAAGGAUCUGGUGUUGCCCUGAGGUGUGAAGGACACGGCUUGGACCUGACAUUGCUGUGGCUGUGGUGUAGGCUGGCAGCUGUAGCUCUGAUUCAACCCCUAGCCUGGGAACUUCCAUAUGUGGCACCAAAAAAAAGGAGGGGGUGUCAUUUUUAUAUGAUUUAUAGAAAACUACGUGAUUUAUAGAAAACAUCCAAAAGUCUAGCUGAAUGUCCAAAAAAAUUUCAUGUACUUUUAUGAUCUGAGUCUAAAAAGGGCUGUCCAAGAAAGUUUUCUGUGAUGAUGGAAAUACUCUAUCACCGCCAUCUGGUAUGGUGGCCACAACCCACACAUGGCUGUUGAGAGCCUGAAACGUAGCUAGUAUGAAUGAAUAACUGUUAGAAAUUUCAAGUUAAAUAGCCAGAAACUAUUUCAGUAGACAUCACAGGUCUGUAAAGCAUUAAUAUAUAUAGCUUGCAGUGCCCACGACAGUCAUGAAGGGCCCAAUUCCAUGAGAUUUCCUGGACAUUUAAUUCCUCUUACGCAUUUGGAUCCAUGCAGAAGAUUCCUGUAGAUGAUUUUAACUAGAAUGCUAUGCCAGAAAAGGCAAAUCCAACUAACUGACUGCUUCACAGAUGUUCUGACUAGAGUCCUUUCAUUUACCUGGAUGGCUUUAAAAUCACACCCAACCUACUCGAGAUGAUGGCUUUGAAAUAGUAUUUGAUCACAUUACCACCCAUGACACAGUUUUGCUAAAAGAAAAACUAUUAAGAUUCUCGAUUUACCAGCUGAUAAAUACAGUGAACAGGCAAGUAUAUAAAGUAUAUUAACACUGUAAUGAAUGCAGUUAGCAAAAUGCAGUCACUGAAAACCCUACAGAGUAAGUGACCCAGUUUCCUCAAAAAAUUACAAGGAAAUGAAAGCUAUGGAAUACUAGAUUAAGAGAUUUAAGGACCCAUGAACCAAUCAUAGUAUAUGGACUUAUUUGAAUCCUGACACAGCAAUUUGUAUAUUUAUGAUGAAUAAGUGAAUAAAAUGUUUUAUAU
rnacentral:lncRNA from 1 species